GAUGAACGCUGGCGGCGUGCCUAAUACAUGCAAGUCGAGCGAACAGACGAGGAGCUUGCUCCUCUGACGUUAGCGGCGGACGGGUGAGUAACACGUGGAUAACCUACCUAUAAGACUGGGAUAACUUCGGGAAACCGGAGCUAAUACCGGAUAAUAUAUUUAACCGCAUGGUUCAAUAGUGAAAGAUGGUUUUGCUGUCACUUAUAGAUGGAUCCCCGCCGCAUUAGCUAGUUGGUAAGGUAACGGCUUACCAAGGCAACGAUGCGUAGCCGACCUGAGAGUGUGGGCGGCAACGAGGGAGCGGAGAACAGGCCCAGCAUCCUAGGGGGGGAAGAAGGAGGAAAUCUCCAGAAAGGGGAGAAAGCCUGAAGAAGCAACGACGCGGGAGUAAUAAAGUUAUUAGAAUAGAAAAACUUUGUUAUGAGGGAAAAAAAAAUGGGUAAGAAAAAAUGCACGUCUGAACGUUACCUAAUAAGAAAACCACGGCAAACACCGUG
rnacentral:rRNA from 1 species